rnacentral:rRNA from 1 species
GCUGUCGUCAGCUCGUGUCGUGAGAUGUUGGGUUAAGUCCCGCAACGAGCGCACCCCCUGUCCUAUGUUGCCAGCAUUUAGUUGGGACUCAUAGGAGACUGCCGGUGAUAAACCGGAGGAAGGUGGGGACGACGUCAAGUCAUCAUGCCCCUUAUGUCCAGGGCUGCACGCAUGCUACAAUGGCAAGUACAACGAGUCGCAAUACCGCGAGGUGGAGCAAAUCUCUUAAAGCUUGUCUCAGUUCGGAUAGGAGUCUGCAACUCGACUCCUUGAAGUUGGAGUCGCUAGUAAUCGCAAAUCAGCAAAGUUGCGGUGAAUACGUUCUCGGGGUUUGUACACACCGCCCGUCAAGUCACGGAAGUCGGCAAUACCCGAAGCCAGUGGUCCAACCCUUUUAGGGAGGAAGCUGUCGAAGGUAGGGUCGGUAACUGGGACU